rnacentral:sRNA from 1 species
AGAACAUUAAGGAUGCUGAACAUGUUGAGUCAUACACCUUAUUGGAUUUAGGGUUAUAGUAACAAUCUAUGUAAAAUCUGCACCGUAUUAAUAUGAACUCGUUGCUCGAGUUAUAAAAGCCCAACCAAACAAAGAUUACACAUCACACCAGAACUGACUUUAAAAUGAGUUGACCACCCUAAGUACAAUGAAGAUUAUGAUCCAUCAAAUUCAACAUUUUCAGUUGCCUAAAAGAGGUAGAUCCUUAGUGGAAAGGCAAUACAAAUUGCUACUCAUAUGUAAUAUGCAAGAAAUGAGUAAGUUCUUUUAAGGGUUUGAUUAUUUUAUUUUCUUUCUUUUUUAUUUCUUUGAAAUGGAAUGAUGAUAAUGCAACUUUCAAAAUAUAUAAGACUUCUUUUAGGUCACAAAAUUUGAUGUUAGUAUUUAGGUCACAAAAUCGGCACCAUCCACGCAAUUUGUGUCAAGUCGAUUAUGAAAUGAAUCAAAACCGUGCCUAACCAGAAUGUCCUGAAUCGAAAUCCAAAAUGCAAAUACCUUACUUAGACAACAAAACAUUGAUGUAUCAAUAUAUCUAAAACAACAAUAGCUAUUGAAAGGGGGGG